rnacentral:lncRNA from 1 species
CCUACUGUUGAGAAACACAGGUUACAAAUCUGUAAAGCUGGAGUGGAAAAUUCAAUGCCGUGUUGUGCCUUUUGGAAAGGAGAGGGGAUGUCUUUGGAGAGGUAAGGUGUAGCAGCUGAUGCCAAUCAACAGCUCCAGCACAACUAGGAGAGAGGUGUUAUAGAACCUCUUCACUCUGUAGGUGAUGAUCUGGGGUGUUUCCAGAACUUCUUCAAAAGGGAGCAGAUAGAUAGAUAGAUAGGUAAGUAAAUAAAUAGAUAUACACACACACAUAUGUAUGUAUGUAUAUGAGAAACUUUUCCUGACACACACACUGUCAAACUUCUCAGACAUAGCUACAUUUCUGAAGAAAUCACCAGACUCACAGAGAGGUGUUCUUAAACUGCUACAGGCACACCACCUCUAAAACAGCUGCAGUUACACAGGGAACAGGUCUGCUGAUUGGUGAGGGGAAGCACAGCCCAGAGCAAACUGAAAAGGAGGAAAGAAAAAAUUGCCAUCUGGAGGCUGAGCAGCCUAUCAGAUAAGUGGAGAGCUAUUGAGAAAUACGGAGAGCCCUUGUAAAAUUAC